rnacentral:rRNA from 1 species
UACGGAGGGUGCAAGCGUUGUCCGGAUUUAUUGGGUUUAAAGGGUGCGUAGGUGGCUGUUUAAGUCAGUGGUGAAAGUCUGCAGCUCAACUGUAGAAUUGCCAUUGAUACUGAAUAGCUUGAGUAUUGAUGAGGUAGGCGGAAUUGAUAGUGUAGCGGUGAAAUGCAUAGAUAUUAUCAAGAACACCGAUUGCGAAGGCAGCUUACUAAGGAAUAACUGACACUGAGGCACGAAAGCGUGGGGAUCAAACAGG